UACGGGGGGGGCAAGCGUUGUUCGGAAUUACUGGGCGUAAAGGGCUCGUAGGUGGCCAACUAAGUCAGACGUGAAAUCCCUCGGCUUAACCGGGGAACUGCGUCUGAUACUGGAUGGCUUGAGUUUGGGAGAGGGACGCGGAAUUCCAGGUGUAGCGGUGAAAUGCGUAGAUAUCUGGAGGAACACCUGUGGCGAAGGCGGCGUCCUGGACCAACACUGACACUGAGGAGCGAAAGCCAGGGGAGCAAACGGG
rnacentral:rRNA from 1 species